AGAGUUUGAUCCUGGCUCAGGAUAAACGCUGGCGGUGUGCUUUAUGCAUGCAAGUCGAACGAGUCACUUCGGUGACUAGUGGCAGACGGGUGAGUAACACGUAAGUAACCUGUCCUUAAGUGGGGAAUAACUCUGAAAAAUCGGAGCUAAUACCGCAUAUGGUUCUUCAUUGCAAGGUGAAGGACUAAAGCCUUCGGGUGCUUGAGGAGGGGCUUGCGUCCGAUUAGCUAGUUGGUGAGGUAACGGCCUACCAAGGCGAUGAUCGGGAGCUGGUUUGAGAGGAUGAUCAGCCACACUGGGACUGAGACACGGCCCAGACUCCUACGGGAGGCAGCAGCAAGGAAUAUUGGGCAAUGGGCGAAAGCCUGACCCAGCGACACCGCGUGGAGGAAGAAGGCCUUCGGGUUGUAAACUCCUUUUCCCGGGGAAGAAUAAUGACGGUACCUGGGGAAUAAGCCUCGGCUAACUACGUGCCAGCAGCCGCGGUAAUACGUAGGAGGCGAGCGUUAUCCGGAUUUACUGGGCGUAAAGAGGGCGUAGGUGGCCUUUCAAGUCGGAUGUGAAAUCUCCCGGCUUAACUGGGAGGGUGCAUUCGAUACUGAUGGGCUAGAGUGCAGCAGAGGGAAGUGGAAUUUCCGGUGUAGUGGUGAAAUGCGUAGAUAUCGGGAAGAACACUAGUGGCGAAGGCGGCUUCCUGGGCUGUUACUGACACUGAGCCCGAAGGCGUGGGUAGCAAACAGGAUUAGAUACCCUGGUAGUCCACGCAGUAAACGAUGGAUACUAGUAUGGGGGGUAUCGACCCCCUCCGUGCCGAAGCUAACGCUUUAAGUAUCCCGCCUGGGGACUACGGUCGCAAGACUAAACUCAAAGGAAUUGGCGGGGGCCCGCACAGGCAGCGGGAGCGUGUGUUUAAUUCGAUGCAACGCGAGAUCCUUACUAGGGCUUGACAUGCGAAGUAGCGACCCGAAAGGUGAGCGACCUGUUAAGUCAGGAGCCGUUCACAGUGCUGCAUGACUGUCGUCAGCUCGGGCCAGUGAGUGUCGGGUUAGUUCCAUACGACGGCAUCCUUGUGCAGUUAACUUCUCUGCGAGACUGGCUGCAAAACGGAGAAAGGCCGGAUGAU
rnacentral:rRNA from 1 species